GAUGAAGAACGUAGCGAAAUGCGAUAAGUAAUGCGAAUUGCAGAAUCCGUGAAUCAUCGAAUCUUUGAACGCACAUUGCGCCCCUUGGUAUUCCGAGGGGCAUGCCUGUUCGAGCGUCAUAUUAACCACUCCCGCUUGCGGGGUCUUGGGCUUCGCCUCCGGGCGGGCCUUAAAAUCAGUGGCGGUGCCGUCGGGCUCUACGCGUAGUAAAUUUUCUCGCGAUAGGGUCCCGGUGGAUGCUUGCCAACAACCCCCAACUUCUUAAGGUUGACCUCGGAUCAGGUAGGGAUACCCGCUGAACUUAAGCAUAUCAAUAAGCGGAGGA
rnacentral:misc_RNA from 1 species